rnacentral:lncRNA from 1 species
GUGCCACCCAGACACAGCUUCACAGUCCAUUGUAUAGGAUGUUGUCAGUUGUCCUGCCCUUUAAGUGCAUUGUGAGGUCACUGUCCACUUCAAUUCAUCAGGAGAGACCUAGUGUGGGUGUAGGGGUGCCUGAGGAGAAAGGGGUGCUGGUUCUUCCUUAUAUCCCCUGCCUGCCUCAGCUGGGCUCUGACCCAGCCAGCAGACUGGAGUCCUCUUCUGCAUGGUAUAUUCUUUCCUGAGAGUUUUGUUUCAGUUAGGUGUGUGUGUGUUUCUGUUUUUGUGUGUGCAUGUGUGUGUCUUAAAAUAUAGUUCUAUGUAUUGUGUCUAGAAGAAUGUUUGAUAAACACUGGAUUGAAUGAUCUCUCAGAUUUCCUCUAGCUCUACUCAUGUGGAAUUUGCUUGAUCGCAGCCACCUAUGCUCAGCCCAACCCCACUGGAGGCUACUGCCUGCCCUGAACCAAACAUAAGGGUGCUCAGCUGUCUUUUAAAAUUCAACUUAAACAUCAUUUCUAAGAGGCCUCUGAUGACGAUGUCUUACUUAUGCCCCUACUUACCCCAGUUGGAUGUGAGACUGACUCCCUCCUUGCUCCUAGUAAGGAAACUGAGGCUUAGAGGAGUUAUGAAACUGCCCAAGGUUUCACAGCUGAAAUGUAUAAGGACCUGGACUUGCAAAUUUGGCACAAAGUUCUUCUAAUAAGAGGCCAUAAAAUAACCAAAUGAUUUUUUAUGUGCCUAUAGAACCAAAAGAACUAUUUCAGAAUGUCAGCUGAAAAGCACGAUAUUCCAGAUAGCCACACCUUUGCCACUGUGUGGUCAUGAUGUUACGAUUCUCUGUAACAAUGAGGCUUCUAAUACCACACAUCUAACAAAGGGGGAUUUGGGAACUGCAAGUUGAAGCUGAUGAAUUCUUUAACAUAAAUCACUAUUACCCAUGGAUUGAGAGGAUGGAGGCCGAAGCCACAACAGUGACAGAUGUUCCAGAAGAUCAGCUUAUAUAAUGAGAAUUUGGGCCAAAUCAGUUGAAAGUGGUGUUUUUUAAAAAAACACACUGACUUCAAAGAAAUGAGUUGUGGCAUCUGUAACAUCUACAGGAGCAGUGCCAAUGGAGGCUAGCGGGUCUGCGGAGGAGCAGCUCAAGUCAUGCGAUUAUUGGAGCUUGCAGCGAAAUGACUGGAACAACAUCUGGGCUGCAGCAAGCUGGCCAGGACAUUUUAAAAGAGCUCCUGUGGUGCCUCCAACUUUGAUUUUACAGAGCUGCGGGGAACGAAACAGGCCGUGUUCAAGAGCUGAUGUGUUUUGCCUCACAUGUUUUGUCCUCGGUCACUGUGAAGGGCCUCACUCAGCUGGGGACCCUGAGGGACACUCUUGGGCAGUCAUUCUCUGUCUACUCUGCUAGCUCUGUAGUGCUAUCUUGUCUUCCAGCUUAGAAACCUUGGCAUAGUGCCUUCCUGGAAAUCCUGGAUUGCAUCUAAAACCAUGUGGCAGAGGGAGAAACAACAGACAGGCCAUCCUGAGAAGACUCAGGCUGGGAUGAAAGCUCUGCUCUCCAGGGACAAAGCAGCAGGGGACCAGCCAUGCUCAGAAAUACUCCACUGGCCAGGGCACAUUUUUAUGAGCAAUUUCACUUGCUUCCACACCACCUGCCCCCCUAACACUUCUAUUAAAGUGGCAAAUAAAUCCGAUACCCAAUUUCAACUGCAC